rnacentral:rRNA from 1 species
GACGAACGCUGGCGGCGUGCCUAAUACAUGCAAGUAGAACGCUGAAGGAGGAGCUUGCUUCUCUAGAUGAGUUGCGAACGGGUGAGUAACGCGUAGGUAACCUGCCUGGUAGCGGGGGAUAACUAUUGGAAACGAUAGCUAAUACCGCAUAAUAGCAGUUGUUGCAUGAUAACUGUUUGAAAGGUGCAAUUGCACCACUACCAGAUGGACCUGCGUUGUAUUAGCUAGUUGGUGGGGUAACGGCUCACCAAGGCGACGAUACAUAGCCGACCUGAGAGGGUGAUCGGCCACACUGGGACUGAGACACGGCCCAGACUCCUACGGGAGGCAGCAGUAGGGAAUCUUCGGCAAUGGACGGAAGUCUGACCGAGCAACGCCGCGUGAGUGAAGAAGGUUUUCGGAUCGUAAAGCUCUGUUGUAAGAGAAGAACGAGUGUGAGAGUGGAAAGUUCACACUGUGACGGUAUCUUACCAGAAAGGGACGGCUAACUACGUG